rnacentral:piRNA from 1 species
UAACAAGUGUGUGAUGAUUUACUAAGGC